CAAACGGGUGCGGAACACGUACGCAAUCUGCCUCUGUGGGGUAUAGCCCACUGAAAAGUGGAUUAAUCCCCCCAUAGAAUAUUUAAGUGGCAUCAUUGAAUAUUAAAACUCCGGUGGACAGAGAUGAGCGUGCGUCCUAUUAGGUAGUUGGUAGUAACGGCCUACCAAGCCGACGAUAGGUAGCUGAUGUGAGAGCAUGAUCAGCCACACGCACUGAGACACGGGCCCGACUCCUACGGGAGGCAGCAGUGAGGAAUAUUGGUCAAUGGGCAAGUCUGAACCAGCCAUGCCGCGUGAAGGAUGAAGGCGUUCUGCGUUGUAAACUCCUUAUCUGGGAAGAAACCUACGAUUUCUAUUGUAGCCGACGGUACCAGAGGAAUAAGCAGGCUAACUCCGUGCCAGCAGCCGCGGUAAUACGGAGGGUGCAAGCGUUAUCCGGAUUCUGGGUUUAAAGGGUGUGUAGGCGGAUAUUUAAGUCCGAGGUGAAAUCUCUGAGCUUAACAGAAACUGCCUUGGAUACUAUUUAUCUUGAAUAUCGUUGAGGUAGGCGGAAUAUGUCGUAGCGGUGAAAUGCAUAGAUAUGACAUAGAACACCGAUUGCGAAGGCAGCUUGCUAAGAUUAUUGACGCUGAGGCACGAAAGCGUGGGGAUCAAACAGGAUUAGAUACCCUGGUACCACGCCCUAAACGAUGAUUACUCGACAUACGCGAUAUUACAGUGUGUGUCUGAGCGA
rnacentral:rRNA from 1 species